AUUGAACGCUGGCGGCAGGCCUAACACAUGCAAGUCGAGCGAGCGGCGGACGGGUGAGUAAUGUAUGGGUCCUGCCCGGUAGAAGGGGCUACCUACUGGAGACGGUAGCUAAUCCAGCAUACUAUCGGAUAACCCAUAUGGGAUUAGCUAGUAGGUGAGGUAAUGGCUCACCUAGGCGACGAUCCCUAGCUGUUCUGAGAUGAUGAUCAGCCACACUGGGAAUGAGACACGGCCCAGACUCCUACGGAGGCAGCAGUGGGGAAUAGUUCACAAUGGGCGCAAGCCUGAUGCAGCCAUGCCGCGUGUAUGAAGAAGGCCCGAGGUUUGUAAAGUACUUUCAGUCGGGAGGCGUUACCGACAGAAGAAGCACCGGCUAACUCCGUGCCAGCAGCCGCGGUAAUAC
rnacentral:rRNA from 1 species